ensembl:snRNA U6 U6 spliceosomal RNA
GUUCUUGGUACACAUACUAAAAUCGGAAGGUGCAGAGAAGAUUAGCAUGGCCCCUGUGCAAGGAUGACCUACAAAUUCCUGAGGAGCUCCAUAUAAUU